rnacentral:rRNA from 1 species
UACGAAGGUGGCAAGCGUUGUUCGGGUUUACUGGGCGUACAGGGAGCGUAGGCGGUUGGGUAAGCCCUCCGUGAAAUCUCCGGGCCUAACCCGGAAAGUGCGGAGGGGACUGCUCGGCUAGAGGAUGGGAGAGGAGCGCGGAAUUCCCGGUGUAGCGGUGAAAUGCGUAGAGAUCGGGAGGAAGGCCGGUGGCGAAGGCGGCGCUCUGGAACAUUUCUGACGCUGAGGCUCGAAAGCGUGGGGAGCAAACAGG